rnacentral:lncRNA from 1 species
GAUAAGAGAGAGAGAGAGAGAGAGAGAGAGAGAGAGAGAGAGAGACAAAAAUCGGCGGUUCACAUCCAAGAUUCAAUUUCAAGGGCAGUCCAAGACGAUCGAAUAGUGGAAAUAUAGAUUCAAGAUGAUCCAUUGGUAGGGAACAAGAUUUCAGACUAUCCAACUGUGGAGAUCAAGAUCCAAGGAGAUCCAAUGGUGGAAAUCAUGAUCCAAGGCGAACAAUCGGUGGAGAUCACAAUCUAAGACGAUCUAAUAAUGAGCAUCACGAUCUAAAGCGAUCCAACGGAUAAGAUUAAGAUCGAAGGCAAUCCAACGGUGGAGAUCACGAUCUAGUGCGAUCAACGGUUAAAAGCACACUUCGAAGGUGAACUCUAAUCUCUUAGGAUAUAUAUGGGUGUAACAAAAAUCCAACCAUUAGGUUUUAUUGUGGUUCUUCCGGAUGUAAUUAAAAAAAGAAAUGAUUUCUCCGCUUCAAAAAAUGAUUACU